CUGGCUUAUCUGUUUGUUACCUUCUCUUGUCCUGUACCUCAGCUUGUUCUUGACUUCGCGCCGACAUGAUCCACAUGUUACUAUUCCUCUUUGUCAGCAAUAAAUGGACGUUUAGUCCCCUUGAGGCACCAUAACAACUUCAUUUAAAUUAAGUUGUUAUGGUGCCAAGCGACACCUAGAGGCAUUCUUGCCUUCAGGGAUUAAACCAUUUUUUAAGUGUU